GACGAACGCUGGCGGCGUGCUUAACACAUGCAAGUCGAACGGAAAGGCCUCAGCUUGCUGGGGUACUCGAGUGGCGAACGGGUGAGUAACACGUGGGUGAUCUGCCUUGCACUCUGGGAUAAGCUUGGGAAACUGGGUCUAAUACCGGAUAUGAACUGCCUUUAGUGUGGUGGUUGGAAAGUUUUUUCGGUGCAAGAUGAGCUCGCGGCCUAUCAGCUUGUUUGUGGGGUAAUGGCCUACCAAGGCGUCGACGGGUAGCCGGCCUGAGAGGGUGUACGGCCACAUUGGGACUGAGAUACGGCCCAGACUCCUACGGGAGGCAGCAGUGGGGAAUAUUGCACAAUGGGCGGAAGCCUGAUGCAGCGACGCCGCGUGGGGGAUGACGGCCUUCGGGUUGUAAACUCCUUUCGACAGGGACGAAGCUUUUUGUGACGGUACCUGUAUAAGAAGCACCGGCUAACUACGUG
rnacentral:rRNA from 1 species